UGGGGAAUUUUGGACAAUGGACGCAAGUCUGAUCCAGCCAUGCCGCGUGCGGGAAGAAGGCCUUCGGGUUGUAAACCGCUUUUGUCAGGGAAGAAACGAGUUUCUCUAAUACAGAGACUUAAUGACGGUACCUGAAGAAUAAGCACCGGCUAACUACGUGCCAGCAGCCGUGGUAAUACGUAGGGUGCAAGCGUUAAUCGGAAUUACUGGGCGUAAAGCGUGCGCAGGCGGUUAUGCAAGACAGAUGUGAAAUCCCCGGGCUCAACCUGGGACCUGCAUUUGUGACUGCAUAGCUAGAGUACGGCAGAGGGGGAUGGAAUUCCGCGUGUAGCAGUGAAAUGCGUAGAUAUGCGGAGGAACACCGAUGGCGAAGGCAAUCCCCUGGGCCUGUACUGACGCUCAUGCACGAAAGCGUGGGGAGCAAACA
rnacentral:rRNA from 1 species